rnacentral:lncRNA from 1 species
UGGAAAGAAGAGGAGCCAGUGUCAACCAGCUGGAUGAGCUUAAGACCGAGGGGAGAGGGAAGGAAAGGAGAGCCGGGUGCGUCUUCGCUGCUAUGGAGUUGGAUGGCUUAUUUUGGAUGGCUUCCUAUCUAGACCCGGCAGGCCCGCCCCCUAAGCAAAGAGGCCUUGUUUAAUGCCAGCGUCACAUUUGAGGCAAGAAGAUGAAAGUUCAGAAAAAGUCCCCCUUUUUAGGAAUUUUUGCAGCACUUUUAUUUGCGUGACACAUAUUAAAAAAAAAAAAAAAAAGUCUGUUCGGCUACCCUCCUGCAUGCCCUCCCAUUAGCAUGGCCCCUUCAUAACUGCCUCCUCUGGGCCUUGGGACCUUGGCAAUCAGUCAGGGCAUUUAAGCUCUGGCAUUAGGCAGCAGGAUUUGGAAAAGCCAAGACCUUGGGAAAGAAAAUAAAAGUCUUAAGUGGUCAAAGCUGGGGUUACGUAAUCCUAUUUCUCUUGGGAUCCAGAUGGUAACGUUCUUCAGGGCAGCCAGUAGGGGGAGCUCAGGACGUUUAUCAGAACUCCAGCGAUCCGAUGGUCAGGAGCCAAGUCAAGGCACAAAUAAAACAAUGAACCUUUGUGGUUUCUCUUCAGCUCUUAAUCCCGAGAGGCUUCAACCCGGACAGCCUGAUUCCCACCCUGAAGGACCCAGCGACCUUCUCCCAGGACGCCUUAAUAGGUUUUCCGGAGUCUGUAGACUCAAAUCCCCCGCCCCCUCCUCCUAAGUCUCUCAUCGGUUUCCCAGGCUCUUGUGGGCUCCGUGCCUUUCUUUUGUCUUCCUGACUUUCUUGUGUCUAAGUUUCUUUCUUGUUUCUCUUCACUAUCCUCGAGUCACUAGUAAAACCUACGAAAAAUGCAAGGGGGUGAGCCCACCCCCAGACAAAUACAUCAAAGCCCCGCACUUUGAAUAAAAU